GACGAACGCUGGCGGCGUGCCUAAUACAUGCAAGUCGAGCGAAACUUAGAAAGCUUGCUUUCUAAGUUUAGCGGCGGACGGGUGAGUAACACGUGGGCAACCUGCCUAUAAGACUGGGAUAACUUCGGGAAACCGGAGCUAAUACCGGAUAAUAUAAAAGAUCACAUAGUCGUUUUAUUGAAAGAUGGCUUCGGCUAUCACUUAUAGAUGGGCCCGCGGCGCAUUAGCUAGUUGGUGAGGUAAUGGCUCACCAAGGCGACGAUGCGUAGCCGACCUGAGAGGGUGAUCGGCCACACUGGGACUGAGACACGGCCCAGACUCCUACGGGAGGCAGCAGUAGGGAAUCUUCCGCAAUGGACGAAAGUCUGACGGAGCAACGCCGCGUGAGCGAUGAAGGCCUUCGGGUCGUAAAGCUCUGUUGUUAGGGAAGAACAAGUAUCGUUCGAAUAGGGCGGUACCUUGACGGUACCUAACCAGAAAGCCACGGCUAACUACGUG
rnacentral:rRNA from 1 species